GGUAGGAUGGCUGAGUUUUAAGCGGUGGAUUGUAGCUCCAUGCACAGAGGUUUGAAUCCUCUUCUUACCA
rnacentral:tRNA from 2 species